UAGCUACAGGCCUAACACAUGCAAGUCGAGGGGAAACGGCAGCUUAGCUUGCUAAGCUGGACGUCGACCGGCGCACGGGUGAGUAACGCGUAUCCAACCUGCCCCACGGUGAGGGAUAACCCGCGGAAACGCGGCCUAAUACCUCAUGGUCUCCGAGUUUGCCAUCAACCUUGGAGUAAAGAUUCAUUGCCGUGGGAUGGGGAUGCGUCUGAUUAGCUUGUUGGCGGGGCAACGGCCCACCAAGGCAACGAUCAGUAGGGGUUCUGAGAGGAAAGCCCCCCACAUUGGAACUGAGACACGGUCCAAACUCCUACGGGAGGCAGCAGUGAGGAAUAUUGGUCAAUGGGCGAGGGCCUGAACCAGCCAAGUAGCGUGCAGGAAGACGGCCCUAUGGGUUGUAAACUGCUUUUAUGCGGGGAUAAAGGGGGCGACGUGUCGCCCUUUGCAGGUACCGCAUGAAUAAGGACCGGCUAAUUCCGUGCCAGCAGCCGCGGUAAUACGGAAGGUCCGGGCGUUAUCCGGAUUUAUUGGGUUUAAAGGGAGCGCAGGCCGGGUAUUAAGCGUGUUGUGAAAUGUAGGCGCCCAACGUCUGCACCGCAGCGCGAACUGGUGCCCUUGAGUACGCACGACGUUGGCGGAAUUCGCCGUGUAGCGGUGAAAUGCUUAGAUAUGGCGAAGAACUCCGAUUGCGAAGGCAGCUGACGGGAGCGCUACUGACGCUCAUGCUCGAAAGCGCGGGUAUCGAACAGGAUUAGAUACCCUGGUAGUCCGCGCGGUAAACGAUGGAUGCCCGCUAUUUGCGCAUUAGCGCAAGUGGCCAAGUGAAAACGUUAAGCAUCCCACCUGGGGAGUACGCCGGCAACGGUGAAACUCAAAGGAAUUGACGGGGGCCCGCACAAGCGGAGGAACAUGUGGUUUAAUUCGAUGAUACGCGAGGAACCUUACCCGGGCUUGAAUUGCAGAGGAAAGAUCCAGAGAUGGUGAUGCCCUUCGGGGCCUCUGUGAAGGUGCUGCAUGGUUGUCGUCAGCUCGUGCCGUGAGGUGUCGGCUUAAGUGCCAUAACGAGCGCAACCCCUCUCCAUAGUUGCCAUCAGGUAAUGCUGGGCACUCUGUGGACACUGCCACCGUAAGGUGCGAGGAAGGUGGGGAU
rnacentral:rRNA from 1 species